UCAAACUUGGUCAUUUAGAGGAAGUAAAAGUCGUAACAAGGUCUCCGUUGGUGAACCAGCGGAGGGAUCAUUACCGAGUUGCAAGACUCCCCAAGAACCCGCGAACCUACCUGUACGUGUUGCCUCGGCGGGCGGCCCCGGGGCCCCGGGCGGCCCGCCGAAGGCCCCAAACUCUUAUUUUGCUCCCGGGACUCUCUGAGCAGAACCACGAAUCAGUUACAACUUUCAGCAACGGAUCUCUUGGCUCUGGCAUCGAUGAAGAACGCAGC
rnacentral:misc_RNA from 1 species